CCUACGGGCGGCAGCAGUCGAGAAUCAUUCACAAUGGGGGAAACCCUGAUGGUGCGACGCCGCGUGGGGGAAUGAAGGUCUUCGGAUUGAAAACCCCUGUCAUGUGGGAGCAAAUUAAAAAGAUAGUACCACAAGAGGAAGAGACGGCUAACUCUGUGCCAGCAGCCGCGGUAAUACAGAGGUCUCAAGCGUUGUGCGGAAUCACUGGGCGUAAAGCGUGCGUAGGCUGUUUCGUAAGUCGUGUGUGAAAGGCGCGGGCUCAACCCGCGGAUGGCACAUGAUACUGCGAGACUAGAGUAAAGGAGGGGGAACCGGAAUUCUCGGUGUAGCAGUGAAAUGCGUAGAUAUCGAGAGGAACACUCGUGGCGAAGGCAGGUUCCUGGACAUUGACUGACGCUGAGGCACGAAGGUCAGGGGAGCGAAAGGGAUUAGAUACCCGAGUAGUC
rnacentral:rRNA from 1 species